UAGACUAUACUCUCAGCGACCAGUUCCCAAAUUCAUUACUAGAGAAGUUUCUCUGAACGUGUAGAGCCCUGGGAACCAGGAGGGGGAGGUGAGCGUUUUCUCCUGAGCAUGAGGUGGCUUUAGGUAUUGCUUCAUGGCAAUUUGGCAACUGCCAUGUGCCAUUGAAGAUGGUUCUUAUCUUCCUCUGGAAGAGGAAGAGGACACAGUCUGAGUGGU
ensembl:snoRNA U3 Small nucleolar RNA U3